CAGGAUUUUUCCAAAUAAACGGGAACGUAUGUGUUAUUAUUAUUUUACCAUCAUAGUAUUAUGGUCAUAUAUAUUAUUGACAAAGCGACACCAUCAAACCGAACUCCGCUCGGAAUCGUUUUUUUCGUUAACAAUAUUUAACCGUUACUUACGGGUAUACGUUGAAUUUCCCCUCUGCCGCUUUCCCGAUUUCUCGCCUAUAACGGCGGCUG